rnacentral:rRNA from 1 species
UACGGAGGGUGCAAGCGUUAAUCGGAAUUACUGGGCGUAAAGCGCGCGUAGGCGGUUUUUUAAGUCGGAUGUGAAAGCCCCGGGCUCAACCUGGGAACUGCAUCCGAUACUGGAAGACUAGAAUGCGGGAGAGGGAGGUAGAACUCCAUGUGUAGCAGUGAAAUGCGUAGAUAUAUGGAGGAAUACCAGUGGCGAAGGCGGCCUCCUGGCUCGACAUUGACGCUGAGGUGCGAAAGCGUGGGGAGCAAACGGG